CGCGCGCACGUGAGCGCGCCGCUCGCCGGCUCUAAUUUUAGCCGUGAGGUGGCGGGGUCGCGUGAGACAGAAGUUGGUGCUGAGAGGUGAAUGCCAAACGCACGCACGUUGUGAAAUUGACCCACGGCCCCGCGCUGGAGAGGAGUCCAGGAAAGAAACGCCCCGUCGGCGGAAACGUUGGAAUGGCCCUGCAGACUUCACUGGGAGGACAGUCAACAGACAGAAACCCUGCCACUGGGACCCUAG
rnacentral:lncRNA from 1 species